rnacentral:rRNA from 1 species
CCUACGGGGGGCAGCAGUGAGGAAUAUUGGUCAAUGGGCGCGAGCCUGAACCAGCCAAGUAGCGUGAAGGAUGACUGCCCUACGGGUUGUAAACUUCUUUUAUAAAGGAAUAAAGUGAGGCACGUGUGCCUUUUUGUAUGUAUUUUAUGAAUAAGGAUCGGCUAACUCCGUGCCAGCAGCCGCGGUAAUACGGAGGAUCCGAGCGUUAUCCGGAUUUAUUGGGUUUAAAGGGAGCGUAGAUGGGUUGUUAAGUCAGUUGUGAAAGUUUGCGGCUCAAACGUAAAAUUGCAAUUGAUACUGGCAGCCUUGAGUACAGUUGAGGUAGGCGGAAUUCGUGGUGUAGCGGUGAAAUGCUUAGAUAUCACGAAGAACACCGAUUGCGAAGGCAGCCUACUAAACUGCAACUGACAUUGAUGCUCGAAAGUGUGGGUAGCAAACAGGAUUAGAUACCCCUGUAGUC